AAAAACUCUGCAACUUAAUGACAUACAAGCUAACCUAAAGGUGGAGAUGCAGAGAAAAGUAGAAGAUUUAGAGAAACAACAUCCGGAAGAGAAGGCUAGGUUAGAAUAUCAAAGAAAGACACAAAUACAAAAGGAAAGAGAGGCAGCUCGAAUUGUGCGUGAAAAGAUGGAACAAACUGCCAAGCUCAAUCAAAGUUUGGAGAGGGAAGUUAAACGUAUGAUGCAGAUCAUGGAGUAUGGUUCUUUUCUAUGAAAACUGCUUCCGAUAACUGUGAAUUGGAAGACGGGCAAAUUUGUUGGACUUAGAUCAGUCACCAAGUGUAUAAAUAGAUACUUGUUUGCUUUCUUGACAGGAUAAUAUAUAUAUGUACAUAAAUUCCUCCUAAUUGGCAAUGAAUGAUUGCCUG